rnacentral:rRNA from 1 species
UAAAUUGAGAGUUUGAUCCUGGCUCAGGACGAACGCUGGCGGCGUGCCUAACACAUGCAAGUCGAGCGAUGAAGCUUCCUUCGGGAAGUGGAUUAGCGGCGGACGGGUGAGUAACACGUGGGCAACCUGCCUCAAAGUGGGGAAUAGCCCUCCGAAAGGAGGAGUAAUACCGCAUAAUAUGAAGGAAUCGCAUGGUUCUUUCAUUAAAGAUUUAUCGCUUUGAGAUGGGCCCGCGGCGCAUUAGCUAGUUGGUAAGGUAAUGGCUUACCAAGGCGACGAUGCGUAGCCGACCUGAGAGGGUGAUCGGCCACAU